GGUAUAUAUAUGUAUAUGUGUGUGUGUGUGUGUGUGUGCGCGAAAUGUAAUGUAGUGGUUAUACGUGUGAUGUAUAUGUGUGUUUAUGAGUGAUUCUGUGAUGUCUGUAAAUCUGUUUUGGGGUGGUGUUUAAAAUCAUAAUUUUGAUUUGUUUGAAUCUGCUUGUGCUUUGUUGAGAUUGAUUUGUUGUGCAAAUGUUAGCAAAUACAUGAAACUGAAAUGAAAUUAGAAUGUUGGGUAGGUGAUUUCAAUUAAAAAAUCUGUUUUGGGUUUAUGUUUAUCUUGUUGAUUUUCUGUGAAAUUGCAUUUGUUAGAAAGUAGGAGUAAUCCAAAACUAGGUAAGCAGAAUUGAAAAACCUGAUUUUACAUUCAACUCUGAUACCCACCUUGUUUUUCAUUUUGUAAUCCAUUUUCAUUCUGCUGAAUUUUAUGAUGUUUGCAUGACCUUCAUCCAAAUUACAAUAAACUGUUUCACACUUUGCAUUUCAGUUUCAAGGUACAAUGGACAUUGAUUCAAACAAUCCGGCAUUGAGUGAGGGUGAGGAAGUUGAAGAACCAAAGAGUAAUCCUUCAUUAAAUGAGAGUGGUUAAAUUGUGGAACCUAAGAAAGGGAUGUGUGUUGCCUCAAAGCAAGAAGUGCGCGAGUUUUAUGCAAAAUAUGCAAAAGACCUUGGAUUUGCUAUAGCUUAUAGAACACAUAAUGUUGGAGCUGAUGGGAAUGUGAAAUACUUUGGAAUUGAAUGUACUCAAGCGCAGAAGAGGACAAAAAGAUCAGAAGUAAACCCCAUGAAACCAUCUUUGUCAUCAAAAAUUGAUUGUAAAACAAAGGUAAGAGUGACUUUACAAAAGGAUGGAAGAUAUAAGUUGAUUCCUAGUGACUCACAACAUUUUCUAAUGAAUAAGAGGAUUCUUACUCCUGUGAAGAGAAGAUUAGAAAUAAACGAUGAAGUAGGAAUAGGGGUGUUUAGGAAUUUUCAUUCUAUAGUUAUUGAAGCGGGGGGAAUAUGAGGCAUUUACAUUUGAUGAAUGAGAUAUAAAGAAUCAUAUUGAGAAUGCUAGAAGAUUGAGGCUUAAGAUAGGAGAUGCCAAAUUAGUUGCAUUUUAUUUUCAUAGCAUGCAAGAAGAAAAUUCAAACUUUUAUUCUACAAUUGACUUUGAUAUAGAUGGUCGCAUAUGAAACUUGUUUUGGGCGGAUGCAAGGCGUAGGGCGCCUUAUAAAGCAUUUGGGAAUGUUGUCUCAUUUUACACCACCUAUCUCACAAACAAAUAUGAUAUGUCAUUUGUUCCGUUUGUAGAAGUUAAUUACCGUGAACAGUCAAUCUUGUUUAAUUGUGGGCUGUUAUGUAAUAAAAUUUGUUUGGCUAUUCAAAGAAUGGUUAAAUUGCAUGUUAGCCACUCCUCCAAAAGCUAUUAUAACUGACCAGUGUAGAGCCAUGCAAAAUGCCAUAGAAAUUGUCUUCCCAUAGGCUCAACAUUGUUGGUGCUUAUGGCAUAUAAUGAAGAAAAUUCCAGAUAAAUUGAGAGGAUAUUCCCAAUAUGAAGCCAUCAAAUUCGCUUUGCGAAAUGUAGUAUAUGAUUCUUUCACAAAAAAAUGAAUUUGAUGAGGAAUGGCAAACAAUGAUUGCAAAGUUUAGCCUGUAUGACAAUGAGUGGUUAGGGGUAUUAUAUCGUAAGCGACAUAGGUAGAUUCCUGCCUAUGUGAAAGAUAUUUUUUGGGCUGGCAUGUCAACUACACAAUGAAGCAAGAGUAUGAAUACUUUUUUUGAUAGAUAUGUAAACUCAAAGACUACUUUAAAGCAAUUUGUUGAACAGUACGACAACGCAUUGAGAAGUAAGGUGGAGAAGGAGACCAAAGCAAACUUCAAAUCUUGAAACAAAUUGUAUGAUUGCUUAACGUUGUAUGAGUUUGAGAAGUAAUUUCAUGCAGCCUACACUAAUGCAAAAUUUAAAGAAGUUCAAGUAGAAUUGAAGCGACUACUGUACUGUCAUGCGACUCUUGUGAAAGAGAAGGGAUCAAUUUAUACUUAUCAUGUCAAGGAGGCUAUUGUAGUGGGUGACAAAAUGAAGAAGGUUUAAUUUGUUAUCUACUUUAAUUCAACUGAAUGUGAAAUGCAAUGUAUGUGUCGGUGGUUUGAGUUUAGGGGGAUCAUGUGUGCCCAUUCACUUAGUGUGCUCAUUGAGAGGUGCAUAUAUGAGGUUCUAGAUAAGUACAUUAUGCCGAGAUGGAGAAAAGAUUUGGAAAGAGGGUGGAUAUGCAUUCCAACCACAUACACGAAAUCUGGGGCUGCUCUAAAUGCAAAGGCACAUGAUAACUACCACAAGACAUUGGAUGCAAUUAUACAAAUGGCUUCUAACGAUGAUGGUAAACACAAAGUCAUUUAACUUGGGUUGAGAGAAAUCAAGGAUAGAGUCGGAAAAGAUGAAUCAGGUUGUGCGAGUAAUGUGCCACCUUCUAAUAGUACUAUCCCACCUUCUAAUACUUCUCCAAAAAGUCUGCCUGGUCGUAGUACUACAAAGGCAAGCAUGACUCGCAAGGUGCUUAGUCCUUUGGUUGCUCACCAAAGAAGCUGUCCAUGUACGAAACGGAAGGUUAGCAACGUGGACGAAAUAGUGAAUUGGUUGAAGGGAAAGACUAUAAAGGCUACAAAAGUUCAGGGUCGUAAGGUGGGUCAAAGUGAACCUCAUAAGUUGAAUUUUGGUUGUACGAAUGGUGUGGAAGACAAUACGAACAAACCGAUAUGUCUUUGAGGGUUGAUUACUUUUUUUUUUUUGGUUUUGAUUUGAAUGUUUUAAAUUAUUAAUGAAAUUGUGUUACUUAUAUCAUAAGGCGUCGCAAGCUCAACCGUACUAUUUUCCUUAUACAAAUGACAUGCAAGUGAAUAUGUACGAACCGGUACUGCAAGCUCAACCGUACUAUUUUCCUUGUAUGGAUGGGACAUAAGAGAGUAUGUAUGUACCGGCACAAGGUAGCGCAAUGCAAAUGGUGGAAAAAAUUGGAAGCACAUCUUUGGGUCAAUCAGGAAUGGCGAACAAUAUAAGUAGUCAAAGUUCGACAAUUGCUUCCAAAUUUGUGGACUUGCAUAUAGAUGCGGAUUCAAACGCCUCAUUUUUUUUUUUUAGUUGCGUACUAGUAAUUUUAUGACCUUGGUUUGUAAACUUGGGACAUUUUGAUCUCAUAUAUGUGCUUCGACAAGGUUCACACGUAAAUUUAUUUUGGGACUAUAUUCAUGAUUUUACAAGGUGCUGUGAUUUAGUAAUGAAAUAAUUGUUUUAGUAAUGGUAAUGUCAUCAUUAUUAGGUGUUCAUGCUUACUUGAAGAGACAGGGUAAACUACUGAAACCAAACAUUUCAUUUAUAGUCAUUGAUGACUCAGGAGCCCUGAUCAAUCGGAAGGUCUAGAUUCUACACAGGCUUCCAGUUUUUCCCCUGUAUCGACAAUAGAACUGUUGUGGAAAUAUGUACAUGAA